rnacentral:rRNA from 1 species
AGCGUGCGCAGGCGGUUAUGUAAGACAGAUGUGAAAUCCCCGGGCUCAACCUGGGAACUGCAUUUGUGACUGCAUGGCUAGAGUACGGUAGAGGGGGAGUGGAAUUCCGCGUGUAGCAGUGAAAUGCGUAGAUAUGCGGAGGAACACCGAUGGCGAAGGCAAUCCCCCUGGACCUGUACUGACGCUCAUGCACGAAAGCGUGGGGAGCAAACAGGAUUAGAUACCCUUGU